CGGGGCACAGAGCACCGCCAAGUUCCGAUGGUCGGUCCACACCUCGAACGGGAGGGCUGCACCCUCCAGCCAGUGACGCCAAGCGGUCAAAGCACACUUGAUUGGCCCCGUCUCCUUGUCACCAGCAGUCCAAUGGUGCUCAGCCCCCGAAAACUAGGUGGGAAAGAUCCACAAAAGCUUCUACGAGGUUCAGAAGGUGUGUGACCCCAUGGCCAGUUUUGGAAACUUUGAAAGUUGGGAAGAGAGGGCGGGGAUUCUGGGAGCUGGAAAGGGAUACUGCAAGCUGCUUAUUGCUGACUAUUGCAAUUGAUUGCUCAGAAACAGGAAACUCACCCAGCCUCUACAGUGAUGAUGAAGAGGGGGGAGAGGACAACACACCACGAGGUUUGAGCACAAGGGAAGGUUCACCUUGCCCUUUACAAUUGAUGCAGUCUCCAGAGCGCGAAGCUCUGCUGAAAAAAAGGAGGCUACGUCAUGUGGGUGAGCUGUCCGACAUUGGUGAGUGGAUGCUGGACACCACCAAAGGUUUCCUGGACACAGCUCAGUCAGAGAUGAGCACUCUCAACCGCCACAUGUCUACCAUAGCCGAUGCUGUGAAAGGGUCAACAGCUGCCAUAGAAAGUCUAGUCCAGUUUUUCACUCAGCAAACCAGGAUGACAGGGCAGACCUCAAAUUUGGCCAGCUGUGGUCAUGAAAGUGGGGGAUGUGGGGGGGUUCUUCUGAGGAGAUUGAGGGCACUCCUGGCAAAAAGAGGCAAGGCAGCCAAACCUUGGCAGUCAGAGGGGUACUGAUAAACACACAAAGAAGCCUACCAAAGUGUUGGAUCUGUAGACAUUUGGAACCUCGGAGUGCGGGAAGUAACACAAUCCUCCCUCCCUGUUGACCAGUUAUAAAUUUUACAGGGAGUAGGUGAGAUUUAAGAAGGCCUGACAACACUGCUUUCCAUGAGUAACUUCUCUGUUUCCCUAAGUAUUGCAGCUCCACGUAACGUUCUCAGAAUGGACUACUCUUCACCAUUUACUCAAUGGAAUGAAACCUAUCUCCUGUGGUGGGGAGGGGGAUUUGGCCAUUUCCUGGGACAAUGGGGAAGGUACUGUGAGCGGUGGUCUGUAUGAUAUUGAAUAAGCACACAUGUGUUCAAUAAAAAACAUUGAUUUAUUCAAAUGAGUUCUCAUAAAACAUGAAAGGUUACAGUCACAUGCAAUUGCAUGCUGGCCAGGUGUGCAACUUUCAGAUGAAGUCCAACAGCGACUUCUGGCCUGUAAAGGGGCGGGGGGAGGAAACAGGAUAUAUUGUCCACUAUUGAGACUGUUUCAAACCACACUCCACUCUUGAUCCAAAAAUCAGUCUGUUUCUGACGAGGACACAGUGGGAGACGGUGUGCUGUAAGCCUCUGUGCUCACAUCCUCCACAUCUGGUGCAUGCUUGGCCUUACACAAUGCCUUACCACCCCUCAUCUGCGUGCACAGUCUGUUCAAACCGCUGCAUCUGCAGACCCUUGAUAUGUGUAGUCAGUCUCUGGUCCAUCCUAUCCAUCUGCUGCUGCAGGCCUCGCACUGUAACGUUAGAGAGAGAGCGUUGGUCAGGUAGCGCACUGCCUGAUUUACAGCUGGUCUGUUGGGGAGAUGUCGAGGCCUGAAACGACUGGAGAGCACCAUUGCAGGUGUGGAUUGAAGAGACUGGAAAAUGCUGUAUUUGUGGACCCACCUUCAACGCCCGCAGGAGCAGAGGAAUGGCCAAGCUCUCCACACCUAGCUCUUAGGGGAGACUUGUCAUCGUUACUGAUGUCGAGUCAGGAGAUGGAGGUCACACACCCCCACCAAUCACAGCAACAGAGGAGGUGGUUGUGAUUAGCUCUGCCGUUUAGGCGGAGUCUAGCUCCUCACCUUGAAUUUUGUGGAGUUCUGUUGGACUGUUUCUUACAGGCCCGCUGAUGCCGUUGGCAAGUUACUAGCCGACAAUACAGUUAUUUGGAUUUAAAUAAAUGUUACAGUUUUGCUUAUAA